GUAAAAAACCCAAUUACCAAAACAUUGACUCAAUUAGAAGAUUGCUAAGGCAAGUUGAAAUAGACCAUUGGCUCAAGUGUUGUUAUUGGGAAAGCCAGUUAAUAAAUGUUUGUACAAUUAUUCAUAAAAAAUAUUGAGUCAGGUGAUAAAUUGUUGUUGGGUGAACGCCAACAAUGGCUGAUAUUGACUCAACUAACAUAGAGUAAUUGAGUGAAUGGAUUGGACAAGUUUUGCAUUUGUUGACUGAACAAAUGUGGGCGGCGUCAUUUGCGGUAAUGAACUUCGAGCAAAGGAAGUACGGCAAAGCCACAAAGUUUGUCGACACGGCCUCACGGAGGGACGAGGAGUGACAGACGAAAGGAGGUCGUUGCUGAAGAUGUGCAUGUCUCCACAAUCAGCCAGAGAUGGCCAGCCCUAUUCCUGUUGGGUCAGGUACAUGCAGAAUUCAAAAGAGUAACAGGAAAAGAAUUGAUGGAAACGUUCUUCCCCUCCUUGGAUGAGCACACCAGAGCUCCGCACCGCAGCUCACCACCCCACUCAAGUGACACUAAGGAGUCUGUUGGAGUACCGAGACGAGCAGACCACAGAGAUCGUUAAACAUCGGAGGGUGGUGACUGUCAAAGGGCUGCAGUAUUACCUGGGGGAGAAAACCGAGCUUUUCAAGACCUGCCAGCCAGACGGUGUUUACGAAGCCUCAAGCCCCGUGCCAAUGGGUAUCCUGGAGAUUGUGGGGCCUCCGGGAGGCCUGGAAGCUGCGCCAUUGCUACCUCCUUACGAGCCUUGAACCCCAGACUUUCCUUUACAGCUUAUACUGUCAGCUAUUGGUGUUGCUCUGUUUUGCACUCUUUUCAAAUGUUGUGUAAUUUUUUGAAUUUGAAUUUAAAUGUUUUGUUUUGUACACAGAAAAAUAAACAUUUAAAGUAAAUUUGUCUUUAUUAGUCUUUAUUUAAUUAGGCUAUAUUUUAUGUUGAGUAUAUAUCAUUUAAAUAUUAAUUCAUGCAGUCAUUAUUAUGUUAUUCACUCAAUUAUUACUUUAUAGUUGUAAUGACUAAUAAGUCCUAGUUGAGUGAGCACAUGAUGUGGAAUAUGACAUGGUGUCAACUCAUUUG